GCAAGUCGAAUGAGUUUAUACUCAUGGCAGACGAGGUAGGAACACGUAGGUACGUACCCAAGAGUCAGGGAUACUCCGGUGAAAAUCGGCAUAAUACUUGAUAGUCCCUUCGGGGUAAAGAUUUAUCGCUCUUGGAACGGCCUGCGGUCUAUCAGCUUGUUGGUAAGGUAACGGCUUACCAAGGCUACGACGGAUAGGGGAGGUGAGAGCCUGGCC
rnacentral:rRNA from 1 species